GGACCUCAGAAAAGCUGUUCAUUUUGUUCUUGCGCUUGGCAGAGCAGUUUUGAAGCAGAGGAUGAACUCCUACAGCAAGUACACCAAUGACGAGCCUCCAAGGGUGACGGCAUUCAUGGAUAACAUUCCAGAACCCAAGAGCUCUGCUGGGAGAAGGUCUUUGUACAGAAAGGCUUCACUGAUCUUUGUCUCUCUGUGGCUCAUCACUCUGAUCACACUCAUCGUUGGACUGGUCCUCUACUGUGGUCAGAGAUCAGCAAUACAGAGUGAGCUGGAGGCUCUGAAGCAUGGCCCUUCCAUGGAAAUUGGAGGUAA